GGGGUUGUGGCUCAGAAGUAGAGCGCUUGCCUACAAUGCAUGAAGCACUGGGUUCGAUCCUCAGCACCCCA
rnacentral:tRNA from 1 species